ACACUCCAUGUUAUUGAAUGUCUAUGUGUCUUGAUACRCAACUUAACAACUUUCAACAACGGAUCUCUUGGCUCUCGCAUCGAUGAAGAACGCAGCGAAAUGCGAUAAGUAAUGUGAAUUGCAGAAUUCAGUGAAUCAUCGAAUCUUUGAACGCACCUUGCACCCUUUGGUAUUCCAAAGGGUACACCCGUUUGAGCGUCAUUGUAAUCUCACCUCUUUGAUAUUUUUGGAUGCCCAAGAGAAGUGGAAAUGGAUGCUGCUGUGUUUGUAGAGACAUGGCUCAUCUGAAAAGUUUCAGUGCAUGGCCAUGACAGGCUAGAGGUGCUUGGUGUGAUAAUUAAUUCAUCAUUGCAAUCUUCUUAAAGUUCUGACUUGGUAUUAGUGUGCUAUCCAAUUGUCCAGUCUGUGGACAACUACAUUGACAAUUUGACCUCAAAUCGGGUGGGACUACCCGCUGAACUUAAGCAUAUCAAUAAGCGGAGGAAAAGAAACUAACAAGGAUUCCCCUAGUAACGGCGAGUGAAGAGGGAAGAGCUCAAAUUUUGAAUCUGGGGUCUUUGACCUCCGAGUUGUAAUCUAGAGAAGUGUUUUCUGUGUUGGACCAUGUACAAGUCCCCUGGAAUGGGGCGUCAUAGAGGGUGAGAAUCCCGUAUAUGCCAUGGACUACCAGCGCUCUGUGAUACACUCUCAACGAGUCGAGUUGUUUGGGAAUGCAGCUCAAAAUGGGUGGUAAAUUCCAUCUAAAGCUAAAUAUUGGCGAGAGACCGAUAGCGAACAAGUACCGUGAGGGAAAGAUGAAAAGCACUUUGGAAAGAGAGUGAAAYAGUACGUGAAAUUGUUGAAAGGGAAGCGUUUGAAGUCAGUCACAUCGGUCAGAGUUCAGCCUUGCUUCUGCUUGGUGUAUUCUCUGGCAGAUGGGUCAGCAUCAAUUUUGAUCGAGGGAGAAAGGCUUGGGUGAAUGUGGCUGUCUUGUACAGUGUUAUAGCCCCUUGYUGUAUGUCUCGAUUGGGAUUGAGGAUUGCAGUGUGCCUUCUUGGCCGGGGUUCGCGCCCUCGGUACACACUUAGGAUGCUGGCAUAAUGGCUUUAA
rnacentral:rRNA from 1 species